UACGUAGGGGGCAAGCGUUGUCCGGAAUCAUUGGGCGUAAAGCGCGUGUAGGCGGCCCGGUAAGUCCGCUGUGAAAGUCGGGGGCUCAACCCUCGAAUGCCGGUGGAUACUGGCGGGCUAGAGUGCGGAAGAGGCGAGUGGAAUUCCUGGUGUAGCGGUGAAAUGCGCAGAUAUCAGGAGGAACACCAAUUGCGAAGGCAGCUCGCUGGGACGUGACUGACGCUGAGACGCGAAAGCGUGGGGAGCAAACAGG
rnacentral:rRNA from 1 species